AUUGAACGCUGGCGGCAGGCCUAACACAUGCAAGUCGAGCGGCAGCGGAAAGUAGCUUGCUACUUUGCCGGCGAGCGGCGGACGGGUGAGUAAUGUCUGGGAAACUGCCUGAUGGAGGGGGAUAACUACUGGAAACGGUAGCUAAUACCGCAUAACGUCGCAAGACCAAAGAGGGGGACCUUCGGGCCUCUUGCCAUCAGAUGUGCCCAGAUGGGAUUAGCUAGUAGGUGGGGUAACGGCUCACCUAGGCGACGAUCCCUAGCUGGUCUGAGAGGAUGACCAGCCACACCGGAACUAAGACACGGUCCAGACUCCUACGGGAGGCAGCAGUGGGGAAUAUUGCACAAUGGGCGCAAGCCUGAUGCAGCCAUGCCGCGUGUAUGAAGAAGGCCUUCGGGUUGUAAAGUACUUUCAGCGGGGAGGAAGGUGCUGAAGUUAAUAACCUCAGCAAUUGACGUUACCCGCAGAAGAAGCACCGGCUAACUCCGUGCCAGCCGCCGCCGUAAAAC
rnacentral:rRNA from 1 species